CAAAACAGCCAAGAUAUGGAAACACAACAGCCCAGAUGUCCAACAGUAGAUGAGUGGAUCCAAAAACAUGUGGUACCUAUACACAAUGGAAUUUUACACAGCCAUUAGAAAGAAUAUAAUUAUGUCAUUUGCAGGGAAAUGGAACUAGAAUAGAUCGUGUUAA